rnacentral:tRNA from 1 species
UAGGUUGAAGCCAGUUGAUUAGGGUAUUUAGCUGUUAACUAAAUUUUCAUGGGUUAGGAUCCCAUCAAUCUAG